GUGUUCUCACUUCGGCAGCACAUAUACUAACAUUAGGAUGACACAGAGAAGAUUAGCAUGGCCCUUUAGGAAGGAUAACAUGCGAAUUCAGGAAGUGUUCCUUAUUUCU